GGAGGCUUUUGGCUGCAAAGGGAAGUGUUCCAAUAGGAAUUGGCAGGAAUUCACACAUCAAAAGAGCAAUCAUUGACAAGAAUGCUCGUAUUGGGAAUGAUGUGAAGAUCAUUAACCGUGAAAAUGUUCAAGAAGCAGCUAGGGAAACUGAAGGAUAUUUCAUUAAAAGUGGAAUCGUCACAAUCAUCAAGGAUGCAUUGAUUCCCAGUGGAACCAUCAUGUAGAAGUAUUUGAAAAUCAUGUGUACAUGAUUACUGUAGUGUAGUUGUUAGACAGACUAAUGAUGCAUCUUGUUAAACCUUUCAUUUUAGUUUUGAACUUUUAAAUAAUAAAGCAUCACCGUCAUUUCUAUACUGCUUUUUU